UACGGAGGAGGCAAGCGUCAUCCGGAAUUAUUGGGCGUAAAGCGUCCGCAGGUGGCACUUCAAGUCUGUCGUCAAAGACUGGGGCUUAACCCUGGAAAGGCGGUGGAAACUGAAGCGCUAGAGUGCGGUAGGGGUAGAGGGAAUUCCCGGUGUAGCGGUGAAACGCGUAGAGAUCGGGAAGAACAUCGGUGGCGAAAGCGCUCUACUGGACCGCAACUGACACUCAGGGACGAAGGCUAGGGGAGCGAAUGGG
rnacentral:rRNA from 1 species